rnacentral:rRNA from 1 species
UACGUAGGGACCGAGCGUUGUCCGGAUUCAUUGGGCGUAAAGAGCUCGUAGGCGGCCACUUCAAGUCGAAUGUGAAACCCUCGGAGGCUCAACCGUCGACCUGGCAUUCGAUACUGGGCGGCUAGAGUCUGGUAGGGGGAUCUGGAAUUCCUGGUGUAGCGGUGGAAUGCGCAGAUAUCGAGGAGGAACACCGGUGGCGAAGGCGGGAUCCUGGGCCAGUACUGACGCUGAGGAGCGAAAGCGGUGGGGAGCAAACAGG